UACGUAGGGGGGCAAGCGUUGUCCGGAUUUACUGGGCGUAAAGAGCGUGUAGGCGGCCACGCAGGUCCGUUGUGAAAACUGGAGGCUCAACCUUCAGACGUCGACGGAAACCGUGUGGCUAGAGUCCGGAAGAGGAGAGUGGAAUUCCUGGUGUAGCGGUGAAAUGCGCAGAUAUCAGGAAGAACACCAAUGGCGAAGGCAGCUCUCUGGGACGGUACUGACGCUGAGGAGCGAAAGCGUGGGGAGCGAACAGG
rnacentral:rRNA from 1 species